AACUAUCAAGCCGGGAUGCUUUCUUGCUUCCUGGCUUGGUUUAUUGGGCUUUGCCGUGCCCUUCAUUGGAACGGCUGGCCUUAAAAGCAUUAGCUGACUCCAUGUGGUUAUUGGUAUUCUACUUGGCGUGAUAAUAAUCUGACCGCUGAGGAAGUGUCCUUUCGGGGAUGGCCAAUUUUCGUGUGGGGUUGCUUCUAAUCUCUGGAGCUCCUGUUCCAUUUUCAA
rnacentral:misc_RNA from 1 species